UGUAGUCUCAACGAUGAUGCAUACAGGUCAACUAUGGGUGUUGGCUCCAACAAUUCGCAUUGGUCUCAAACCAAUGACAUGCAUUUUGAAGACCAUGAGUUCGAGGUGGAAGAGGAGGGUGAGGGCAUUGUCGACGUGCCGAAAGGAAGAGCGGGCAAUUACACCAACACCGAUGACAUCUUACUAUGCAAUACUUGGUUGCAAGUAUCGAGGGAUCCAUCCAUUGGAGGUGAUCAAAGUAGAGAUGCUUAUUGGGGGCGGAUGAAAGAACACUAUGAUGUUCACAACGUGAGUGGAAUUGACCACUCCGAGAGAUCACUUCGGUCCCGGUGGUCGACAAUCAACUCGGAUUGUCAAAAGUGGGUGGCUUGUCAAAAGGCGGUUGACAAGUUGAACCCAAGUGGCACAAAUGAGGACGAUAGAGUAAGUGGCAUUUCCAUACAUGUUCAUCAUACUUGUUGUUGGUGUUCAAAGUGCUAA
rnacentral:rRNA from 1 species